rfam:Gallionella capsiferriformans ES-2, complete genome.
CCUUCCGAGAGGUGCUGCAGCGGGUUUGAACGCCCCCGUCAGGCUCGGAGCAGUGAUUUCGUUUCAACGGCACCUAUUCAUU